rnacentral:rRNA from 1 species
GAUGAAUGCUGGCGGCGUGCCUAACACAUGCAAGUCGAGCGGCAGCGAGUUUUACACUGAAUUCUGGAAGCUUCUGAGUAGUAUAGAAGAUUUAUUCAAGAAUUUUGUGUAAAAUGUCGGCGAGCGGCGGACGGCUGAGUAACGCGUAGGAAUUUGCCCCAAAGUGAGGAAUAACUGCCCGAAAGGGUAGCUAAUGCCGCAUAUGGUCUUCGGAUUAAAGCCUUCGGGCGCUUUGGGAGAAGCCUGCGUUGGAUUAGGUAGUUGGUAGGGUAAUGGCCUACCAAGCCGACGAUCCAUAGCUGGUCUGAGAGGAUGAUCAGCCAGACUGGAACUGAGACACGGUCCAGACUCCUACGGGAGGCAGCAGUGAGGAAUCUUCCACAAUGGGCGAAAGCCUGAUGGAGCAACGCCGCGUGAAGGAUGAAGGCCUUCGGGUUGUAAACUUCUUUUAUGAGUGAAGAAUAUGACGGUAACUCAUGAAUAAGCACCGGCUAACUACGUGCCAGCAGCCGCGGUCAUACGUAGGGUGCAAGCAUUAUCCGGAGUGACUGGGCGUAAAGAGUUGCGUAGGCGGUUUAAUAAGUGAAUAGUGAAACCUGGUGGCUCAACCAUACAGACUAUUAUUCAAACUGUUAAACUCGAGAAUGGUAGAGGUAACUGGAAUUUCUAGUGUAGGAGUGAAAUCCGUAGAUAUUAGAAGGAACACCGAUGGCGUAGGCAGGUUACUGGGCCAUUUCUGACGCUAAGGCACGAAGGCGUGGGGAGCGAACCGG